UACGUAGGGGGCGAGCGUUGUCCGGAUUUAUUGGGCGUAAAGAGCGUGUAGGCGGCCAGGUAGGUCUGCUGUGAAAACUCGAGGCUCAACCUCGAGACGUCGGCGGAAACCAUCUGGCUAGAGUCCGGAAGAGGAGAGUGGAAUUCCUGGUGUAGCGGUGAAAUGCGCAGAUAUCAGGAAGAACACCCAUGGCGAAGGCAGCUCUCUGGGACGGUACUGACGCUGAGACGCGAAAGCGUGGGGAGCGAACAGG
rnacentral:rRNA from 1 species